ensembl:snoRNA
AAAAAAUACUUCCAUUACAGUGCUUUAUUUUAUGGAAGUACUGCCAUUAUCCUGCUGAAAGAAAAGCUGUGUUGAUCGUUUUUUAUUUUGCCUUUCUGAGGGUAAAAUCAUGAUAGGCUGACAUGGUCUGUU